rnacentral:rRNA from 1 species
GACGAACGCUGGCGGCGUGCCUAAUACAUGCAAGUCGAGCGAAUCGAUGGGAGCUUGCUCCCUGAGAUUAGCGGCGGACGGGUGAGUAACACGUGGGUAACCUGCCUGUAAGACUGGGAUAACUUCGGGAAACCGGAGCUAAUACCGGAUACGCUCUUUUCUCGCAUGAGAAGAGAUGGAAAGAUGGUUUCGGCUAUCACUUACAGAUGGACCCGCGGCGCAUUAGCUAGUUGGUGAGGUAACGGCUCACCAAGGCGACGAUGCGUAGCCGACCUGAGAGGGUGAUCGGCCACACUGGGACUGAGACACGGCCCAGACUCCUACGGGAGGCAGCAGUAGGGAAUCUUCCGCAAUGGACGAAAGUCUGACGGAGCAACGCCGCGUGAGCGGAGAAGGCCUUCGGGUCGUAAAGCUCUGUUGUUAGGGAGGAACAAGUACAAGAGUAACUGCUUGUACCUUGACGGUACCUAACCAGAAAGCCACGGCUAACUACGUGCCAGCAGCCGCCGUAAGAC